rnacentral:rRNA from 1 species
CCUACGGGCGGCAGCAGUGAGGAAUAUUGGUCAAUGGGCUUACGCCUGAACCAGCCAAGUCGCGUGAGGGAAGACUGCCCUAUGGGUUGUAAACCUCUUUUGUCAGGGAGCAAGUGGCGCUACGUGUAGCGUUAUCGAGAGGACCUGAAGAAAAAGCAUCGGCGAACUCAGUGACAGCAGACGCGGUAAUACGGAGGAUGCGAGCGUUAUCCGGAUUUCGUGGGUUUAAAGGGUGCGUAGGCGGAAUGCCAAGUCAGCGGUAAAAUCGCGGGGCUCAACCUCUCUCCGCCGUUGAAACUGGCGUUCUGGAGUGGGCGAGAAGUAUGCGGAAUGCGUGGUGUAGCGG